rnacentral:tRNA from 1 species
GCUAUUUUGGCAGAUAAGUGCACUGGAUUUAGAAUCUAUCAAUGUAAAUUUUAUUUUACAAGUAGUA